CACCACUGCAGGGGCUGAUUCCUGGAUUUGUAAAACUUGCUCUGAGAAUCUACCUGUUCAAGGUCUUCCUUCUCCGUGCCUGGUGCAUUCAGCCUUCAGACAUGAGUGGAUUUCCAUUUCCAGAGGAUGAAAAAAAAAAUGAACAGAAGCCCUGCUGAACCUGGGGGGCUGAGCAGAUGCCUCAGAGCCCCGGGCCGCAGUUAAGGUGACGAGAUGCAGCAAUUCUUUAUGAACAUUUCAUUCCUGCUCGCUACACGACGUAAAUUAGAUGGUGUGUUACAUUCGGGCAAUAAGAGAGAUAUGUCACCACGACGCUGGCCCAUUGGAUGGAGAGGGGGUUUGGCGAAGAGCUGAAAGGAUUUCACCCUGAUGUGCACACUACUGAGUGACCCUGCUCACCAGCGGCUCGGCUGAUUGCUUUGCACCUUGCAGACUCCGCGACUGGCUCGGCCUCUUGCGGGCCUCGCUCCCUCCGGGUCUCCAGCCCACCCCGCCCCUGCCUGGCUUUCUCUGGAAGCCAAAGCCGAGAGACCUAACAGAGAUGUCACAAAGGUCAUGAAGGGAUGUGUCUGUGGGGAGAAGCAGGGCGGCAGAGCUAAAACCAAACCAAA